rnacentral:lncRNA from 1 species
GCUCCGUUCAGGCCUGAGGCCACGCAUGUGUGCCCCGUGGGGGAGACGUGCCCCAGUGAAUCAGGAAACAGUGGUGAUGGCCAUUCCGGGAGCCUGACUGGGGGUGCAGGGGUCACUUUUCUAAUGUGGCACUGUCUUGGGUAUCAGGGAGAACAGGUGUCUCUGGUCCACAUGCGGAAGAGCCACCACCGUGGCAAGACUGGGUGACUCAGACCCCGGGGAGCAGGGACGAUUUGGACACGGCCAUUGUCCAGGGACACAACUUUGCCAGGACCAGAGCUUCGCACCCCAGGCCAUUUUAAACGCCAGGGGACACUUGACAAAGUCCGGAGACAUUGAGUUGUCCCUCUCCAGCCCCAGCUAUGGGAAGCGGCCGCCGCCUCCGCCUCCGUCAGUGUCUUCCGUCCCCAGGAAGAACCCAGGCCCGGGUGAUUCAUCGCGGCCUCAGGGCCGGGAGAGACUAAAUCUUCUGCAGAUGCGGUAAGAUCCUAUCACAGCGGAAAGGGAAGGGCUGGAGUCUCAGGGAAGGUUUUGCUGAGGAGACGGGCUUGGAGGGAGCUGAGGCUCACGGGAACCGCAAGGGUCCAGGAGAGGAGGGGAUCUCAGGGCGGGGGAAUGGACACCUGGGUGGGUAAGAAAAGGGCUUUUCAUUAGCCCUUUAUGCAAGAAAAAAACAAACAACCCCAUCAAAAAGUGGGCAAAGGAUAUGA